GAAAAUAAUAGUCGCCGCAACAGUAGGAACAACAGCAGCAGCUGCUGUUAUUAACCAUGACCACAUUUUAAUAAAUGGCCCACAUUUGUAUGGCUGACAAUUAUAUGAUGGCUCAGUGGUUUGCUCAAUUGUGUUGGCCGACAUAGAAAGGCAAGUGCCAAACCGGAAUUGCAUCGAUUACGAUAAUAAUCAGAAACUAUGCGGCAAGCGGAAACAAUUAGCAAACGCGGUAGCAGCGGUAACGGCAGAGGCAAAAGCAGCGGCAGCGGCGAAUUGCCAACUUGCGAACGAGCUGAUCAAAACAAAACGCGACAAAACUCUAAAGACGGCGAGCAUGGGCAAUCAGAAUGGCAAAUGCGAAUGGGCAUGGAAAUGAAAAUGGCAGUGACAAGCAAAACAUCCGCCGGCGCAAAGCUAAAGCUAAAGCCAAUGUUAAAAGGUGUACAACGGGCACGCGUGUGUGUGUGUAUGAGUGUGAGGAAGGGAACGGAAGCCGCGGGCGUUACGGCGACCACCGGCAUCCGAGAUUUCAUUUCACACAGCGCAUCCAAAAUAGGGGGAAGCCAACUGUGGCAGAACCCUUGCGUAUUGGCCCAUUUGUCAUUUGCCUGUGUUAAUAGUUUUCCGGAACCCGUUUCAAGUGCUUCCGUCCAAGGAAGUGCGUAAAAGCCAGCUGAAAUUCGCCAAGGAAUCGAACUUUGAAGCCGCAAUUUUAAUUACACGUGAGUGUGUGUAUGUGUGCGUGCGCGGCGCGAUAAUUCCCACGAACACCGAAUUCGAAUUCGAAUGAAUCAACAAAUAUUGUAUGAAAGAGAAGAAAACAAAAAACAACUCUGAAAACUCUUUUUCGUUGUUCUCUUUGUUUGCCGGCCAGGAAGCCACACACAAUGCCCGCCGAACCACUUGUUAGGCACGGCGACAACAAGGCUAAAAAUGUGAAAAGAGAAAACGCCUCAACAAAAACAAAAACCACAAGAAUAUCAACAAUAGCAACAACAAAUAUCAAGAAAUAACAAGCAACAAAAGCGUUUCAAGCAGUCAACGUGCCACAAGUCAAAUCAAAUCGGAGACGCCUCACGUGCUCGUUGCAUUUUGGCCACGUGGCCGUGUCCAAUGGCCCAGUCGGGAGCAGAUGCCACAGCGACAACAACGAGGACAACAACAACAA